rnacentral:lncRNA from 1 species
AUUCAUUUUCUGCCCCAAAUUCCUGGAGAGGCAGUGAGUCCACCUCGCUGAAGAUACAGCCUGUGAGGGGGGACCUUAGGUCCCCGAUGACCCCCCGCGUACGGGGUAGGGUUGGAGGAAAGAGCUGGGGGGACCCGUGAGAACCAGGACAGGAAAGGCACGACUUCUUUAGAGGAAGAGAGCUUUGUCUCCUUAGUUAUCAGAUUUGCUGGGGACCCGGAGACAGGCGAGUUUUCCCUCAGCUAUCCUCUCUCUAUAUAGUCUAUCCUCUAUGUUAACCUCCCGGUCUCUGCCUCUCUCAUUUUCGGUUUAGCGUUAUUUCAUGUACAUCUAACAUCAUGCUCUCUGUGAAAGUACAGCCAUCGUCUCGGAUUCCAGAGAAGAAUGUUCUACUUGUUCCUUGUUUUGCAUAUUCUCUAAUCACACUUAGAAUACCUUGUUUACGUUUUCCAUUUGGUGGCAACAGAUUAUCAGUGUCAAAAUUUGAAUUCAGUGUUAGUGUCCGUGGAAGCCAGGGCUGUAUAACAUGACCUCUUCUUUUGUAUCCUGCAUAACGUCCUUCCUCCCUCUGAAAUGUUGGAACUUCCUAAAUCCCCUGGAGACCUUCUCCCAGUGGGAGGGAUUCAGAUUUGAUCUAGAAAUAUGACACUGGCUGUCACUCUGAAGCUGUGGAGGGGCUGGGUCCAGCAGGAUCAUGGGCUCAAUGUUUCUGGUUCUGUCUUUGCGAAUGACACUAGAGAGUAGGUACCUGGUGUGCAAACACCAUUCCCACUGAAGGAGCAAACAGCUGCCUGCUGAUGACAUUUAAACACCAGAUCACACAUAAAAUCACAUUUCAUUUACUAUAGAAUUUUCUGGUAUUCAGCACUGGGGGAUCUUUCUCUGGAAACAUUAACAGGGCACUUUUUUUUCUCGUCUGGAUUUUCAGUCUUUUAACCUGACACCUUUGUCCCUUUUUCUAGUUUUAGAUAAUGUAUUUUGAUUUGUCAUUAGGUUUUAGAGGGUUUAAGUGUGAUUCUACAAGUUGGUCUCAGACCUCUUUGAGACGUGGAGUAGGAUGGAGGAGAGGAGAAAGGAAUGGCAUCUGCCUGAAGCACAGGGCUCUACACAACCCAGCUCAAGGGAUAAGAGUCCUUGCCCCUAACCAAACACAGAGCGUGCAACUGUGCUGCCUGUAUUUAGUUGCAGAGUAUCACUUGCAAGUUGUUAAGCCUCUCUGUGCCUAGCCCAAGGUGGUUAUGAGAAAUGAGUUAACAUUUGUAAGAGACAACAUGGAUUAAGUGCCUUAUUAAUGGUUGUUAAAUAAAUAAAAUGGACUAUUUCCAUUUUUAAAAGGCUAUUUCUUUCCCGACAUUGCCUGAACAAAAACUCAGCCUGCUAUGAAUUCUGUAAAGGAAAAAAGAAGAAUCUAAUGGAAAGUUUUACUCCCCAGUGUUUUUCACAUUUAAAAUUUUCUGUAUCCCUUACUGCCACCCAACUCUCCCUGUCUCUAACUGAUAUAAAGCAGUGUGAGUCCUUAAGAAAUCAAAGCACAUCCUAGAAAGAAGAAUGUUCAUAUAAACACCACAAUCCCAGUUUCCAAAAUGGUCUUGUAGUUACUGGUGCUCACGGGUAUCUGUGAUGUCAUUACAAUAAUCUUGGACAAGGGAUAGAAAGGUGUGCUAGAAUGUCCUGUUACUUUAAAAUAGACACUAUAGGUAAUAUAUAUGCUCCAUUCUUUUUCAAUAAUUUCCUCUCUCACAUCUCCCUGACUACUUAAAUUCCUUGAAAGAAAGGAUAGAUACAGAAAAAACAUUGACCCAAUGGAGGCCAAAAUAGUGUCCCAAAUGUCUUCUGCAGUUUCAAGCUGUAAUAAAUGCUGCAAACUUAUAAAUGAAAAAUAAAGUUCAAUUGGGAAUUUAUAAAAAACAAAAAAGUUAAAUGUUUUUAAUUUAGGAAGGCUUUCAGAAAGGAAGACACAUCUGUACUUUACCAGGAGAUGCACAUAGAUGGGAGGUCAUUAAAAAUUUGCUUGUUUUUCUUCAGCAAACAUAAGGUGCCCAAUUCUGAAGAAUAAAAUAGGCACUUUUCCAUGGAGAAAGCUGACAAACUACUUCUUUAAAAAAAUGGUGAAGAUAAACGUCUUCAGUGUGAUGUCAUAUGGAUAUCAUGUACCCACUUGAUAUGAUGUCAUAAGAAUGGCAUAAGCAGGAUGCCUCUUUGGUACCACUUCCAAAAAUUCAUCACCCAAAUCUAGUUAUGAUAAAAAACAUUCUUCAAACUCAUACUGAAGACUCCUAAAGCUAAUCAGUACUCUUCAAAACUGUCAAGGUCAUGAAAACAAUAAAAGACUGAAAAACCAUCACAGUCCAGAGGAAACUGGAGAAGUGACAACUCAUUGCAGUGUGGUAGUUUGGAUAGGAUCCUGGGACAGAAAGAUGAUAUUAAUGGAAAAGCUGGUGAAACACAACUUAGUCUGGAGUUUAGUUAAAAGUAACGUGUCAUUGGUGGUUUAUUAGCUUUAACAGACGUUCCGUGCUGUUGUAAAAUGUUCACUGUCAGGGAAAAAGGAUGAAGGGCACACAGACACUGUAUUAUCUUUGCAAUGUUUGUAAAUUGAAAAUUGUCCCAAUUAAGUUCAUUUUUUUCUAAGUUUAUUUUUCUAAAUCCAUUUAGAAUACCACCAAAAUGAAAUCAGGGCAUGUGCAUGUUUUACCUGCUAGCUUUCUAGACAGGAAAUUGAAUUUUGAUUUAGUACAUAUUUGCUCAAAUAUGAAAAUUCAAAAUAUCUGUUGCCGCAGUUUGGGCAGUUCAUCAUGCUUCAUAGUGUUAAAUACUUUGCCUUCAGCAUUAUGUUUUCCAGAUCUCUCAUUUAGUUCUUAUAACUGAAGAAAAUCAGAAAGUGUUUGCUAUCAUGCUCUCCAGACCCAACACAAGGAGAGUGCCAAGAGAAUAAUGCAAAUGAAACAUGUCAAGAGGCCGUGGACAUUUGCAGGUUAUGCAGAACUUGACUCCUGAGGAAAAUGUCAUCAGAAUCACUUGUUUUUGUAAAUGAAGUAUAAAGGAGAGGAUUCGUUGUUGUUGGUGGUGGUGGUGUUUUUCCCUAACAUGCCGCUUGUAUCAAUGAGAUCUUCAUAAGCCAAAGCUUAUAAUGCUGUUGACUACAAAAAUAAAUUGUCUUGUUAGAGCAAGUGUUUCUCCAAGCCUAUUUUCUUUUCAACAGUUGAAUGCCAGAAUUUUAUGCAGUCUUUAAACUUAUUCAAGCAAAAAUUCUUAAAGAAAUGGAAGAAUCUUUAAAAAUGGAAGCUUUGGUGGCCAAAUUCCAUUUGCCCUGUAAUCAUUAUGGAACCUUACAAAACUGGCAGACGGUCAAAUCUCGGUGCUCACAUCUCCUAGGCCACCUGUUCUCCAGUCACUGCUACAACACUAGCUGCCUGCAGAUGUCACCUGGAAACUCCUGGCCUCAGCUGAAUCAGUUUGUCCAUUGGUGGAGGAACCCAG